UGGGCUGAUUGCCUUGCUUGUAAACCUGGCAGAAAUUCACUUCAGCUCAAAUUUCUGAUCUGCCAGUUCAAGAGAAGGGGACCUUUGCACUCUGCUAUUUAUUGCCUCCUGCUCCUCAGACAUUCUCAGUGCUGGAAAUGGUAACAUCUUUUAUGGUAGAAGGAAAACCAUAUGUAAUUGCAUGAGAACACCAAAUUGUAAGAAGGAAAGCAAACAACAGCCGAGAUCCUGGAGAAGCAGCAGUGGCAAGGAAGGAGUGGGGAAGUGGUCUUGAAAAUACAGGUGAAGAAAAAGAGACAAAGUGAACCAAGAUACCUGAGGCCAGUGAGCAGUUUAGUAACCACAUCUGAAUCAGACAUUGGGCUGUCUAGUGGGUCAGCAUCAAGUUAAUCAGAUCAGAUGCAGAGACUUUUCAAAGCGAUGAAUAGAGAGACUUCAGCUCCAGAAGAAAGAGGACAAGCAUACAGCUGUUUAAGCCUGGCACAAGGAAGCUGCA